rnacentral:rRNA from 1 species
GGGGAAUAUUGCACAAUGGGCGCAAGCCUGAUGCAGCGACGCCGCGUGAGGGAUGAAGGCCUUCGGGUUGUAAACCUCUUUCAGCAGGGAGGAAGCUCUUGAGUGACGGUACCUGCAGAAGAAGCGCCGGCUAACUACGUGCCAGCAGCCGCGGUAAUACGUAGGGCGCGAGCGUUGUCCGGAAUUAUUGGGCGUAAAGAGCUCGUAGGCGGCUUGUCGCGUCGGUUGUGAAAGCCCGGGGCUUAACUCCGGGUCUGCAGUCGAUACGGGCAGGCUAGAGUUCGGUAGGGGAGAUCGGAAUUCCUGGUGUAGCGGUGAAAUGCGCAGAUAUCAGGAGGAACACCGGUGGCGAAGGCGGAUCUCUGGGCCGAUACUGACGCUGAGGAGCGAAAGCGUGGGGAGCGAAC